rnacentral:misc_RNA from 1 species
GAAAUGCGAUAAGUAGUGUGAAUUGCAGAAUUCAGUGAAUCAUCGAAUCUUUGAACGCACAUUGCGCCCCUUGGUAUUCCAUGGGGCAUGCCUGUUCGAGCGUCAUUUGUACCCUCAAGCUCUGCUUGGUGUUGGGUGUUUGUCCCGUCGCCGCGCGUGGACUCGCCCCAAAGUGAUUGGCAGCCGGCGUACUGGUCCCGGAGCGCAGCACAUGUCGCGCAAACGAGUGCCUUGGUACGGCGGCGUCCAUAAGCCCCUCUCUCACGCUCUUGACCUCGGAUCAGGUAGGGAUACCCGCUGAACUUAAGC